rfam:Ovis aries breed Texel chromosome 11, whole genome shotgun sequence.
UCCUUGGCGGCUCAGAGGUAAAGCGUCUGCCUGCAAUGCGGGAGACCCGGGUUCAAUCCCUGGGUUGGGAA